UCAGGUGCCUAUAUCGGCGGUGUCCACCUCUUCCCAUUCCGAACAGAGAAGUUAAGCCCGCCAGAGCCGAUGGUACUGCGGUAACACGUGGGAGAGUAGGUCGGUGCCGAUUU
rnacentral:rRNA from 1 species